AAACACAGCCACGCUGCCUCCCCGUCCUUCUCCCAAUCCGCGGAGAUUUCCCAGGAACUCCAGCAGGAGUGCAUGAGGAAGCUCAACGUCCCGACAGGCGGGGUUGGUCAGUGGACCCAAAUCUCAGCCCUCUGUCCUACUCAGAACGCCCAGGAGGACCAACAGCAUCUCUCCAUCAAUGAGGACAAACCUCAGAUCCCCCUCGCCCGAUAAAAUGGGGAGACUAUACGUCCGCUCGCUGGUCAAGCGACCUUUCUGUUUUUCUGUCACUAUUUAUAAGGCAAGAAAUCCCACUUAUUAACCUGACAGGGCAGGUUGACCUAUGAAGUGAAAACCAUUUCAGGUGACGACCUGUUGAAGCUCAUCAAGAAAAUGC